AACGAACGCUGGCGGCAGGCUUAACACAUGCAAGUCGAGCGCCCCGCAAGGGGAGCGGCAGACGGGUGAGUAACGCGUGGGAAUCUACCCAUCUCUACGGAAUAACGCAUGGAAACGUGUGCUAAUACCGUAUACGUCCUUCGGGAGAAAGAUUUAUCGGAGAGGGAUGGGCCCGCGUUGGAUUAGCUAGUUGGUGGGGUAAAGGCCUACCAAGGCGACGAUCCAUAGCUGGUCUGAGAGGAUGAUCAGCCACACUGGGACUGAGACACGGCCCAGACUCCUACGGGCGGAAGCAGUGGGGAAUAUUGGACAAUGGGCGCAAGCCUGAUCCAGCCAUGCCGCGUGAGUGAUGAAGGCCCUAGGGUUGUAAAGCUCUUUCACCGGUGAAGAUAAUGACGGUAACCGGAGAAGAAGCCCCGGCUAACUUCGUGCCAGCCGCCGCCGUAAGAC
rnacentral:rRNA from 1 species